UACGUAGGGUGCGAGCGUUGUCCGGAAUUAUUGGGCGUAAAGGGCUCGUAGGCGGUCUGUUGCGUCAGGAGUGAAAACUCGGGGCUUAACCCCGAGCCUGCUUCUGAUACGGGCAGACUAGAGGUAUGCAGGGGAGAACGGAAUUCCUGGUGUAGCGGUGAAAUGCGCAGAUAUCAGGAGGAACACCAGUGGCGAAGGCGGCUUCCUGGCCUGUAACUGACGCUGAGACGCGAAAGCGUGGGGAGCGAACCGG
rnacentral:rRNA from 1 species